GAUGAACGCUGGCGGCGUGCCUAAUACAUGCAAGUCGAGCGAACGGACGAGAAGCUUGCUUCUCUGAUGUUAGCGGCGGACGGGUGAGUAACACGUGGAUAACCUACCUAUAAGACUGGGAUAACUUCGGGAAACCGGAGCUAAUACCGGAUAAUAUUUUGAACCGCAUGGUUCAAAAGUGAAAGACGGUCUUGCUGUCACUUAUAGAUGGAUCCGCGCUGCAUUGGCUAGUUGGUAAGGUAACGGCUUACCAAGGCAACGUUGCAUAGCCGACCUGAGAGGGUGAUCGGCCACACUGGAACUGAGACACGGUCCAGACUCCUACGGGAGGCAGCAGUAGGGAAUCUUCCGCAAUGGGCGAAAGCCUGACGGAGCAACGCCGCGUGAGUGAUGAAGGUCUUCGGAUCGUAAAACUCUGUUAUUAGGGAAGAACAUAUGUGUAAGUAACUGUGCACAUCUUGACGGUACCUAAUCAGAAAGCCACGGCUAACUACGUG
rnacentral:rRNA from 1 species